UACGUAGGGGGCAAGCGUUGUCCGGAUUUAUUGGGCGUAAAGAGCGUGUAGGCGGCCAGGUAGGUCAGCUGUGAAAACUCGAGGCUCAACCUCGAGACGUCGGUUGAAACCACCUGGCUAGAGUCCGGAAGAGGAGAGUGGAAUUCCUGGUGUAGCGGUGAAAUGCGCAGAUAUCAGGAAGAACACCCGUGGCGAGGGCGGCUCUCUGGGACGGUACUGACGCUGAGACGCGAAAGCGUGGGGAGCGAACAGG
rnacentral:rRNA from 1 species